rnacentral:rRNA from 1 species
GUGCCAGCAGCCGCGGUAAUACAUAGGGGUCAAGCGUUGUCCGGAUUUAUUGGGCGUAAAGAGCUCGUAGGCGGUUCAACAAGUCGGUCGUAAAAGUUUAGGGCUCAACCCUAAAAUGUCGAUCGAUACUGUUGUGACUAGGAUACGGUAGAGGUGAAUGGAAUUCCGAGUGUAGCGGUGAAAUGCGUAGAUAUUGUGAGGAACACCAGUGGCGAAAGCGGCUAUCUGGACGGUGACUGACGCUGAGGCACGAAAGCAUAGGUAGCAAACAGGAUUAGAUA